UGCGCAGUGCGGCUCCAGACCUCGCGCGCCCCGCACGUCGCGACCGCACACACACACAUCAUAUUCCCUCAAUAAAAUAAACUGAACAUGACAGUGAAAUUCGAAGUUGCCGCAUUCGCGAAAUUCCCAAACCAAAAACAAUAAUUGUUGCCAUAUAAAGAUUUGUAAUUAUGUCAGUUAGAUUUUUUUUUAAUUCUUAAACACAUGUAAGACACGAGACGGUGUUGCAUCCAUUCGUCCAAUUGUCGCCGGUGCACAUGGCACGCGGUCGCCUCUGCGCAACGUCCUGACACACAUACUAAUCCGCGCUAAAUGGAAACAGAAGGAAGAUCAACAGCAUCACAAACUAAGCAAUCAAAGUAGUAUAAAUACUUAAAAGGAACUGCGUAUACAUUUUUAAUAUAUCUCAUGAAACAGAAUCUAUCAGAGCAACACGACUAAAAGCUACGUUUGAAAAUAUAUCAAGUUUCAGAGGGAAACAGUGGUCGUCCUAUAAAUAGUUAAUCCUGUUUGGAAUCGAAUAACAUUCCUUACUUUUGACUCCGAAAGAAAUAUUGAUGUCCUAAUUAACACCGGGAUGCAUCAAUUGGGAUAACGAUGUAAUAUAAUUUAUGCUAUUCGUAAUAAAUCAUAUAAAUAACAAAGAAAUAAAGCUUAUAUUUUUUUAACAAGGGAACGAAUUGCGUGAAUUAACUAAGAGUGUAGUUUAAAAUUAUUUGGUAGAAAAAAACUAAGCGACCCGACAAAGAGCAGUCAAAUAUUUAGUGAAGUGAAGAACAUCUAGAAGACAAGACACCGGACGUAACUGGGCCUGGUAACUCCACCACCGUUGGCGUUACGUCAUACCGCCAACGGGGGCAGAGUUCCUUCUCCUAGUUGCGAGGUUCUACACAUAGAAGAUUCUAGAACACAGAUAUAGAAGAAUUGUUAGCAACUGUUGUGUAUGCAAUUUAUUGUAAUGAUGUUUUAAGUCAAAAACUGUUAACUAAAAUGUUCCGAUUUUUGUAAU